GGGGGGGGUUGGGUUACGUUGGGGUGUCCCGGCGAGAAUAGGACCGACCGGGACCAUGGACACUUCCUGGUCCUCCAGAGGCAGUCGACACACAAACUGGGGGGAGCUUCCCUUCACUGCUGUCUGCGAGGAGAGGAACUAGACCCUCAUAGACUAGACCCCCAUGGACUAGACCCUCAUGGAGAAAACCCCCAUGGAGUACAACUCCAAGAACUAGACCAAUUAUCUCUAGGGCCCCAUGAGAAGACCUCCAUGCAGGAAAACCUCCAGGAUCUCAGGUCCAAAACCUCUCACACAUAUGCACACACGAGCAUAUAUACACACAGAAAUGCACGCAGACAUAAACACAAACACACACAUGUACAUGUAUACACACAUGUAAACAAACAGAUGUAUAAAUAAGGUCCACCAUAAAUGAUACAUAUAUAUAUAUAUAUAUAUAUGUAUAUACAAAUUUUAGAGUCCACACGUACAUGCAGUAUAUGAAGUGUUUUGACUGCCGCAGCAACAGAAGUCCUGAGGGAGCGAGCGAUCGAGCAGCGCUUAGACUGGAGAGAACGAGAAGAAAGCAUCCACAGAGAAACUCCUCAAGUCAUGUAGCAGUUGUUUCGUGUUCCUCGGUGUCUGAAGGACAUCCUCUCAGGACAUCUCAGCAGGUCACUUCCUGGGGGGGGUCAAGGUUGACCUCCUACCUGGAAAUUACAAAAGGACAUCUAUCACCACGGACAUAUUUAACGGACUAGAGUUGUAUCUGUUUGUUUUAGAACUAGCCUCAGUGAAAUGAACGUAGCAUUUAGUAGAGAAAAUACAGAGUCUAAGUCUGUCUGCUUCUGUCCAAACUAAGAGAACAACAAGUAGUGUGAUUAUUUUAUACUUCCUGUGUAUGUGCGUCUGUGUGUGCAUGCAUGUGCGUGUGUACGUGCACGUUUGUGUGUGCACGUGCGUGCAUGUGUGUGUGUGUGCGUGUGGACGAAUGUGAGCGAGUGUGAGCCGCCUCCUAAAGCACAAGCUGUUUUGUAAGGCACGGGUCGGAGCAGCACUUUGUAAAUACGUUGUGCAUCGUCAGGUAGUUCCGCUGCGUCGCGCCCAACCUUUUCUACGAAGACCCUCCUUAAGGCUGUCCCCAGGGUUAGGGUCAGCGGGGGACAAACUGUAUGUAGCAAAACGAUGAAGAUGUAUAGUUUAUUAAGUCGAUAAAUAGGACGUGAUAUGUAUACAAGAUAAGAUUAUUCGAUGUACAGUACAGUAGCAGAUACAUGCACUCUUUGAAGUCCACACUCACCUGUGUCCUGGUGUCACACCUCCUUCCAUCUCUCUGGGUGCUGCCUGCUCCGUCGAUACCUCCUGCCUGCUCUUCUGUCAAUAAAGGUAUAAAUUCAAGCUGGAGGCCAAUUCUGGGUCGAUCACAGACAGCCGGGCUCAGUUCCCCAAGAUACAGAGACAAUAUAUACAAGAUCCAAGACGUAGGGUUAUAUAGGUAAACAUUCAAAAUAGUUUCUGAACACAUGGCUUUGUAUGUAUUGGCCUUCUGAAUGCUUUCUGUGUGCGUGGCAGUAAAUGUGGGGGUCACGCACCACGUCCCCACCAGGUGGAGGUGGUGUGUGUAUGAAGUCCCCACAAGGUGGGUGUGUGUGUGAGGUCCCAACAAGGUGUGUGUGUGUAUGAAGUCCCCACAAGGUGGGGGUGUGUAUGUGAAGUCCCCACAAGGUGGGGGCGUGUGUGUGAAGUCCCCACAAGGUGGGGGCGUGUGUGUGAAAUCCCCACAAGGUGGGGGUGUGUGUGUGAGGUCCCCACAUGAUGGGGGUGUGUCUGUGAGGUCCCCACAUGAUUGAGGUGGGGUUGGGGCGGUGUGGGGGCAGUCUGGACGGAGAGGAUGUCUGCAGAGAGCUGGUGUCUCAGGGUGUGUGUGGUCGGGACGGUGGCUUGGGUUCAAGGUCAGUACCGGGUCCAAAAGGUGCGGUGUGUUCUUCUGACCGUCCUGACGUCUCCCUGGCUGCUCACGGUUCCGUUUCCUCCAAUGCUCCUUCUACUGUUACACCAGACACAGAAGGGGGGGUGGGGGUUGUGGUUGUGUGUGCGCCUGUUUUUAUGUCUGCAUCGCUGAAUACAUGUACAUGUGAGUAUGUGUUAACACGUGUGUGUGUGUGUGUGUGUGCGUGUCUAUAUAUAAGUGUGUGUGCGCUGUAUGUAAGUGUGUGUGUGUGCGUGUGUUUGUGUGUGCAUGUAUGCGUGUAUCGGUGUGUUUGCGUGCAUCAGUGUGCGUUUGGAUCUAUGUGUGUGUGUUUGUGUUUGUGUGAGAGACCGCUCCGUUUGUCCCUCAGAACCCCAGGCGACGGUAUAUCUCUUUGUCGCCAUAGUGACGGUAGCCGUGCCGCUCAGGCUGGGCUCUUGACAGACCCCCCCCCCCCACCUCUCACUCUCUCCUCCCGGGGAUCGAACCCCAACCUCCAUCAGGGCUGCUAAACGAGCACAGAUUGAACUCCCUGCUCCAGACUCACAUCAGACAGACAAUCUGAUGCUCCGUAUCGAUCAGGAUGAGUCAGCUCAGUACUUCACAUUCCAGAAGUAUUAUUAUUUUUCAUAUAAUCAUCAAAACAUAUUUCACAGUUGACAGGCUUUGCACAGGUUCCCUUCCUCGAGGCUCAAAGAACGCGAGGCUUGAGAUCCCUGCGUUUGACCGUGGGUAAUAUCCAUCCGGGAACAUUGAAACCAUCUUCUGCAAACACGCAUGUCAGAACGUUUUUAUCCACUGCUCGAUCCUGGCUCGAAGACGAGGCACACUUCCACUCUGUUAAUAACGUGAUAGUGUUUCGUGAUAACUUCGCUCAUCUGUACAAACGUUAAUGAAAGCAGAGCAGGGGUCAGAUAACGAGCAUCUAAGCCUCGGAGAGAGUCUUUCCUUGAAGCUUAGCCAGAAAGUUAGCAUCACGUAUCGUUUUAGCCUUGGAAAUAGACUGUUCCAGAGUCCUGGCCAAAGAGUUUGUAUCUGCUAGCAUUUUAGCUCUGAAGUUAGCAUCUUAAUAGCGUUUUAAGCCCCAGAGUUAGCAUUUUAAUAGCGUUUUUAGCCCCAGAGUUAGCAUCUUAAUAGUGUUAUUAGCCCCAGAGUUAGCAUUUGAAUAGCGUUUUUAGCCCCAGAGUUAGCAUCUUAAUAGUGUUAUUAGCCCCAGAGUUAGCAUUUUAAUAGUGUUAUUAGCCCCAGAGUUAGCAUCUUAAUAGUGUUAUUAUCCCCAGAGUUAGCAUCUUGAUAGCGUUUCCAGCCCCAGAGUUAGCAUCUUAAUAGCGUUUCUAGCCCCAGAGUUAGCCUCUCCUUUACUCCGGCCUGUCCAUGGUCCAACAAACUGGUUUUGCAUCGAUGGUUAAGGCCAUCCUCAUGUAUAUACUGUCUGUCCCCAGGCAAAAAGCAGAGAAAUUGUUUAAUAUGUGUUUAAUAAAUACUAUUUGUGUACCUGA
ensembl:lncRNA